rnacentral:miRNA from 1 species
UGAACUAUACAAAGACGGUUA